UCUAAACCAAUAAAUUCAUUAAACCUAAUAAUUUUAGGCAUAAAAACAUCCAAAUAGUAGCCUACAUUCAAGUUUAAAAACAAAAUAUAAACUUGUCUCUCACAAUCAAGUUUACCAAUCAACCGAAACCAUACACCUAAACUACUACAAAUCAGAUUCAGUUUUGUUCAUCCUCAUCGUCAGAUAGAUCAUGCCCAUGCUUUCAUGAAUUUCUGUAUUUUAACAAAUGUUUCAAAUUGUGAGUCCAACUGUUGCUUCAAAUCACAAUUUUCUCUCUCUCAUAUCUUCCAUCUGUUCUUGAUUUUGAGAAUAAAAAGAAUUGGGUAAGAGUGAGUUUGGAUGACCUGUAGGUCGACUGUUUACUCCACGCGCUGUCUCUGUCCACAAUGAAGCCAUAUCAUCAGGUG
rnacentral:lncRNA from 1 species